rnacentral:rRNA from 1 species
CGCUGGCGGCGCGCCUAACACAUGCAAGUCGAACGAAGCUCUUCGGAGCUUAGUGGCGGACGGGUGAGUAACACGUGAGCAACCUGCCUCAUAGAGGGGGGAUAACGUUUGGAAACGAACGCUAAUACCGCAUAACGUAUUUUUUGGGGGCAUCCCUUAAAUACCAAAGCUUUAUGUGCUGAAAGAUGGUCUCGCGUCUGAUUAGCUAGAUGGCGGGGUAACGGCCCACCAUGGCGACGAUCAGUAGCCGGUCUGAGAGGAUGAACGGCCACAUUGGGACUGAGAUACGGCCCAGACUCCUACGGGAGGCAGCAGUGGGGAAUAUUGGGCAAUGGGCGCAAGCCUGACCCAGCAACGCCGCGUGAAGGAAGAAGGCUUCGGGUUGUAAACUUCUUUAUAAGGGACGAACACAAUGACGGUACCUUAUGAAUAAGCCACGGCUAACUACGUG